rnacentral:rRNA from 1 species
AUUAAGGUCCUCUGGAUUGUAAACUUCUUUUAUAUGGGACGAAAAAAGGUCUUUCUAGAUCCCUUGACGGUACCAUAUGAAUAAGCACCGGCUAACUCCGUGCCAGCAGCCGCGGUAAUACGGAGGGUGCAAGCGUUAUCCGGAUUCACUGGGUUUAAAGGGUGCGUAGGCGGGUAGGUAAGUCAGUGGUGAAAUCCUGGAGCUCAACUCCAGAACUGCCAUUGAUACUAUCUGUCUUGAAUAUUGUGGAGGUAAGCGGAAUAUGUCAUGUAGCGGUGAAAUGCUUAGAUAUGACAUAGAACACCCAUUGCGAA